rnacentral:misc_RNA from 1 species
AGGAAGAGAAAAAGGGUAUGUAUAUUGUAUUGAUCGAGAAGAUUGUGAAUUGGUGAAAUUUAGGGUGUAUGAUGACGUCUUCUACUAGUGAGAAACCAUUAGUGGAGUUGACGAAGGGCGCUAAUGGCCUUGAAAAAGUGAUUCUCCGGGAGAUUCGUGGCAGUUCUGCCGAGGUGUAUCUCUAUGGUGGUCAGGUGACGUCUUGGAAGAAUGAUCAGAGAGAGGAAUUGCUCUUUGUUAGUAGCAAGGCCAUUUUUAAGCCUCCAAAAGCAAUUCGUGGGGGUAUUCCUAUAUGUUUCCCACAGUUCGCAAAUCGUGGCCCUCUUGAGUCGCAUGGAUUUGCCCGAAACAGGUUUUGGAGCAUUGACAAAGACCCCCCUCCAUUUCCAGCAGCUACUUCUUCUAGGGCUUUUGUUGACUUGAUACUGAAACCGUCUGAGGAGGACUUGAAAAUUUGGCCUCACAGUUUUGAGUAUCGGCUGCGGGUAGCUUUGAGUCCUGCUGGAGAUUUGAUGUUGACAUCUCGUAUUAGAAACACCAACACUGAUGGAAAGCCUUUCGCAUUUACAUUUGCAUAUCACACCUACUUCUCUGUUUCAGACAUCAGU